ensembl:lncRNA
GCGCCUCAAAGGAGCUCCACACCCUUCAACUGUCUCCUGUGGCUCAAGCAGGGAGGGAACUUGCUGGGGAGAGGAGGGCUGCAGCAUGUAGGAAAGAGACUAUUCCAGGUGAAGCCAAAAAGAAGAGAAUCCUCAAGUCUCAGGGAUGUGAAAUGUCAUCCUAGGCCAGAGCCUGGAAAAGAAUGGGCUGGAUGCCUCUUUCAAGAGCUCUAGCCAACUAUUGAAGAAAGUGGAGUCUACCUUCCCUCCAGACUUAACAGUCAUGUUGUUUAGAGAGCGGCAGUAAUAGCUGAGAAUCUCUUUGCUUCUCAAGAGGAAGAGAUAACCUGGUAAAGGAUCAGCUUUCCCUGCUCGUUCAGAGGAGCCAUAUCUUCGAGGACAAACCUUGAAAAUGCCCCUUGUUCAACCAAACUGACAAGGGCCCCUGAGAAUAUUCACGUGAGGAGGGUUCCCCGUCCCUACACAUGUCCUGCUGGGGUCUGAACUACAGGCAUGGCGCAUCUCCUGGACUCAUGGCAGCUCUAAGCCACGGCUCCAGAUAGCUCCAACCGGUUUUCUUUCACCUCUUCUGUAAACUUCCAAAGCCUAGAAUACAAGACAUCAAAAUUCUACCUUGAGUAUUUGCCACCUGCCCCCGUCCCCAUGUGAUUGAGAUGAUGUACUUGGCCUCCAUAUCUAGGGCGUAUUUGUGGAUCUGACACACCUCGGGAAAUCAGUUUUAAGAAAAAAGGGUGGAAGCCUCCCUUUCCUGUUUCCUCUCUUGAAGGUAAUAAAACUGCUGGUGACGGACCAUAUCCAGCAGGAGUGCCGGCAGCCAGCCCACAGCCACGGAUAAGGCACGGCCACAUCUUUUCCACACAGAGUGCCAACAUCUCACCCUGCAGGGGCCAACUAUUCCUCCCAACCAUAGCUAACAGGAAAAUCCAGAAAGGCCUGGACUUGAGCCAGAGCCCCCAAAUUUGCAUCAUUUUCAGUGAUGAAUUGUCCACUCAAUCAAUAUAUAUAUUUUAUGGCGGUAUUUUUUUUUUUACAUUGGGAUGUAAUUCACGUAACAUAAAAUUCACUACUUUAAGGUUUACAAGUCAAGGUUUUUUAGUAUAUUUCCUAUGUUAUGCAACCAUUGCUACUCUCUAAUUCCAAAGCAUUUCCAUCACGACAAAAAGAAACCCCAUCAGCAGUCGUUUCCUGUCACCUCCUCCUCCCCCCAGCCCCUAGCAACCACUAAUCUACUUUCUAUCCUUCUGGAUUUGCUUAUUUGGGACAUUUCAUAUAAGUGAAAUCACACAAUACUUGACCUUUUGUGUCCAGCUUGUUUUCCUUAGCAUAACGUUUCCAAGGUUCAUGUGUGUUGUAGCACAUAUCAGAACUUCAUUCCUCGUUAUGACUGAAUAAUAUUCCAUUGCAUGGAUACAGCAUAGCUGAUUCACCCAUGCAUGAAUUGAUGGAUGUUUGGCUUGUUUCCACUUUUUGUCUAUUAUGAAUAAUGCUGGUACAAACAUUCACAUACAAGUUUAGUGUGUGGACACAUGUUUUCAAUUCUCUUGGGUAUAUACCUCAGAGUGGAAUUGCU